rnacentral:rRNA from 1 species
UACGUAGGGUCCGAGCGUUAAUCGGAAUUACUGGGCGUAAAGCGUGCGCAGGCGGUUUUGUAAGCCAGAUAUGAAAGCCCCGGGCUCAACCUGGGAACUGCAUUUGGGACUGCAAGGCUGGAGUACGGCAGAGGGAGGUGGAAUCACGUGUAGCAGUGAAUGACGUAGAGAUGUGGAGGAACACGAUGGCGAAGGCAGCCUCCUGGGCUAGUACUGACGCUCAUGCACGAAAGCGUGGGGAGCAAACAGGGA